rnacentral:rRNA from 1 species
AUACGGAGGGUCCAAGCGUUAUCCGGAUUCAUUGGGUUUAAAGGGUCCGCAGGCGGGAAAAUAAGUCAGUGGUGAAAGCCUACAGCUCAACUGUAGAACUGCCAUUGAUACUGUUUUUCUUGAGUAUAGAUGAAGUGGGCGGAAUAUAUCAUGUAGCGGUGAAAUGCAUAGAUAUGAUAUAGAACACCGAUUGCGAAGGCAGCUCACUAAACUAUUUCUGACGCUCAGGGACGAAAGCGUGGGGAGCGAACAGGAGUAGAAACCCCAGUAGUCC